CUUGUUGAGGAUCGGAGUGAAAGGCUAAACAAACUCGGAGAUAGCUGGUUCUCCUCGAAAGCUAUUUAGGUAGCGCCUCGUGCGAACACUGUUGGGGGUAGAGCACUGUUAUGGCUAGGGGGUCAUUGAGACUUACCAAACCAUGGCAAACUCCGAAUACCAACACGUGAUACACGGGAGACACACGGCGGGUGCUAACGUCCGUCGUGAAAAGGGAAACAACCCAGACCCGCAGCUAAGGUCCCCAAGUCAUAGCUAAGUGGAAAACGAUGUGGAAAGGCAUAGACAGCCAGGAGGUUGGCUUAGAAGCAGCCACCCUUUAAAGAAAGCGUAAUAGCUCACUGGUCGAGUCGGUCUGCGCGGAAGAUUUAACGGGGCUAAGCUAUGCACCGAAGCUCGGGGUGUACAGAUUUUGAUCUGUACGCGGUAGAGGAGCGUUCCGUAGGCCUGUGAAGGUGAGUCGUAAGGCUUGCUGGGGGUAUCGGAAGUGCGAAUGCUGACAUGAGUAACGAUAAGGGGGGUGAAAAGCCUCCCCGCCGAAAGCCCAAGGUUUCCUCGCGCAACGUUCAUCGGCGCAGGGUGAGUCGGCCCCUAAGGCGAGGCAGAAAUGCGUAGUCGAUGGGAAGCAGGUUAAUAUUCCUGCACUUUUCUACAGUGCGAUGUGGGGACGGAGAAGGUUAGGUCUACCAGGCGUUGGUUGUCCUGGGGAAAGGCGGUAGGCAUGAUUCUUAGGCAAAUCCGGGAAUCUCUAUGCCGAGCACCGAGACGAGUCCUAUGAGGACGAAGUGACUGACACCACGCUUCCAGGAAAAGCCACUAAGCUUCAGCUGUAGAAAAACCGUACCGCAAACCGACACAGGUAGGCAGGGUGAGAAUCCCAAGGCGCUUGAGAGAACUCGGGUGAAGGAACUAGGCAAAAUGGCACCGUAACUUCGGGAGAAGGUGCGCCUCUUGGUGUGGUCACGUGCGUGACUGAGCAUCGAGGGGUCGCAGUAACCUGGCCGCUGCGACUGUUUAUCAAAAACACAGCACUCUGCAAACACGAAAGUGGACGUAUAGGGUGUGACGCCUGCCCGGUGCUGGAAGGUUAAUUGAUGGGGUCAGCCGCAAGGCGAAGCUCUUGAUCGAAGCCCCAGUAAACGGCGGCCGUAACGAUAACGGUCCUAAGGUAGCGAAAUUCCUUGUCGGGUAAGUUCCGACCUGCACGAAUGGCGUAACGACAGCGGCGCUGUCUCCACCCGAGACUCAGUGAAAUUGAAAUCGCUGUG
rnacentral:rRNA from 1 species